GACGAACGCUGGCGGCGUGCCUAAUACAUGCAAGUCGAGCGGGCCUCCGGAGGUGCUUGCACCUCCGGAAGGCCAGCGGCGGACGGGUGAGUAACACGUGGGCAACCUGCCUUUGAGGCCGGGAUAACACCGGGAAACCGGUGCUAAUACCGGAUACGUCCUCUUUCGCGCCUGCGAGAGGGGAGAAAGACGGUCUUUAAGGCCGUCGCUCAAAGAGGGGCCCGCGGCGCAUUAGCUGGUUGGUGGGGCAAGGGCCUACCAAGGCGACGAUGCGUUGCCGACCUGAGAGGGUGAUCGGCCACACUGGGACUGAGACACGGCCCAGACUCCUGCGGGAGGCAGCAGUAGGGAAUCAUCCGCAAUGGGCGAAAGCCUGACGAUGCAACGCCGCGUGAGUGAGGAAGGUUUUCGGAUCGUAAAGCCCUGUUGUGAGGGAAGAACAGCAUCCGGAGGAAAUGCCGGAGGUUUGCCGGUACCUCACCAGAAAGCCCCGGCUAACUACGUGCCAGCCGCCGCGGUAACAC
rnacentral:rRNA from 1 species